UUAUUAUUGAAUCAUUCAAUUGCACUAAUUAUAAUUAACAAGUUUUUAAUGAAUAAUUUAGUGAAUUGUUUCGCUAGUGUAUCUAAAUAGAAUUUUCUUUCAGUUAAUUAUAUCUCAGGUUGGUAUUGUUACAUACGAUCGAUAAUCCGAAUCGAUAAUAACGUAAAAGAGACUGAAGUUAAAAGAAGCAAUAAAUAAAAGUUUGCUGUUCAAUCUAUACGAUUAAUUAGGAAGAAAUCGAGUACGCUUGUUCGAUAGUUGAAUUAAUAUCGACUACAAAGAAGCGAGCAUUCGAGUUAUCAAUCAUCGAUGAAUACUGUGCAAAAAAGACAUUAUCAACGAAUGUAAAUUUUCCCGUCAUAUUAAUGUUUAAAAUACUGUUUCUAGAGAAUAUACAUAUAUUUCACUAUAUAAGUUACAAAGUUAUCGUAUCGGCAAGAUAUUACAAAAAUAACAUAAAAAAUAUAAUGCAUUAAUUUAAAAACAUAGCUGUUCGAUAAAAUUGAAAUUGCGUGCGCAGAAGCGUACAGGAAAUUUCGAUAAACGUUACAGAAUACCGAUCAACAAUCGAAUUGGUCCGAUAUUUAAAAAGUUAUCAGUGCGAAAUUCACGUAAUAAGCCUUAACACCGUAAACGUGAGUAAAACAGUUGCACUACGUCUGUGGUGUCAACAAGGUUUUUAUUAACCUCCUUGAAGUUCGUGAAUUCAACUCUGCAACGUAUCGAUCGAUCGUUUACGAUCUAAAAUUUCAACUUACCUUUUGCCGUACCGCUGCUCUAAUGUGCCUGUAACGAGGCAACGAUCGAAGAUCGGAACUGUCAAAUGUCCAAGGAAGGAAUAACUAAAA